UGGAAAACAGAGUGGAUCAUCAGACUAAGAACCAAAUAACAUAUGAUAUACAUUUACCAUCUGAUUUGGGAACGCUUUAUAAAGUGAGACUUGGUCUCCAGAGUUUGGAAAACAGCAUAUCCCAGUUGUCUCUUCAUCACUUUAAAAUACAGAACACAUCGACCCUGGAUACCUUUAGUCUCACCAUAAAUAAAACACUUCCUCUUUCCCUUAAUGGAGACAGAUGGAUUGAAUUCCCCAUACAGUGGCCAUUAAAAGAAGCACUUUCUGUGGUUACAUAUCAUCUAACAGUAUUUUCUGGAAAUAUUUUGAGUGAGAGAAAUUUAGUGCACGUGACUGCAUGUAUAUAUGGUAGUCGUGGCGACACAGGGG
rnacentral:lncRNA from 1 species